rnacentral:rRNA from 1 species
GGACUACUGGGGUUUCUAAUCCCCUUCGCUCCCCUAGCUUUCGUACCUCAGCGUCAGAAGAGACCCAGUAAGCCGCUUUCGCCACUGGUGUUCCUGAUGAUAUCAACGCAUUUCACCGCUCCACCAUCAGUUCCGCUUACCUCUGUCUCCCUCAAGCACUGCAGUAUCGGGCGCAGUUCCAGGGUUGAGCCCUGGGAUUUCACACCCGACUGACAGCGCCGCCUACGUACCCUUUAAGCCCAGUAAUUCCGAAUAACGUUUGGACGGUACGUAUUACCGCGGCUGCUGGCAC